rnacentral:rRNA from 1 species
AGUGAACGCUGGCGGUAGGCCUAACACAUGCAAGUCGAACGGCAGCACAGUAAGAGCUUGCUCUUACGGGUGGCGAGUGGCGGACGGGUGAGGAAUACAUCGGAAUCUACUUUUUCGUGGGGGAUAACGUAGGGAAACUUACGCUAAUACCGCAUAUGAUCUACGGGUGAAAGCAGGGGAUCUUCGGACCUUGCGCGAUUGAAUGAGCCGGUGUCGGAUUAGCUAGUUGGCGGGGUAAAGGCCCACCAAGGCGACGAUCCGUAGCUGGUCUGAGAGGAUGAUCAGCCACACUGGAACUGAGACACGGUCCAGACUCCUACGGGAGGCAGCAGUGGGGAAUAUUGGACAAUGGGCGCAAGCCUGAUCCAGCCAUACCGCGUGGGUGAAGAAGGCCUUCGGGUUGUAAAGCCCUUUUGUUGGGAAAGAAAAGCAGCAGGUUAAUACCCCGCUGUUCUGACGGUACCCAAAGAAUAAGCACCGGCUAACUUCGUG